rnacentral:rRNA from 1 species
AUUGAACGCUGGCGGCAUGCCUAACACAUGCAAGUCGAGCGAGCGGCGGACGGGUUAGUAAUGUAUGGGGGCUGCCCGGUAGAGGGGGAUAACUUCUGGAAACGGUAGCUAAUACCGCAUACUAUCGGAUAACCCAUCUGGGAUUAGAUAGUAGGUGAGGUAAUGGCUCCCCUAGGGGACGAUCCCUAGCUGGUCUGAGAGGAUGAUCAGCCAGGAUGGAACUGAGAAACGGCCCAGACUCCUACGGAGGCAGCAGUGGGGAAUAUUGCAGAAUGGGGGCAAGAAUGAUGCAGAAAGGCCGCGUGUAUGACGAAGGCACUAGGGUCGUAAAGUACUGUCAGUCGGGAGGCGUUACCGACAGAAGAAGCACCGGCUAACUCCGUGCCAGCCGCCGCGGUAAUAC